UUUGUUCUGUUUUUGAAAUGAUGGCUAGUGUAUUUAAAGGGGGGCUUGGAUGGUGUUUUUGAUAUAACUUCAGAAAAAUUUUCUAAAUUCUAAUUGUUCAUUAAUUUGUAAUUGUGAGUUUUUUGAGAGAUUGUAAAAGAAGUCUUGUGUGAUUGUAAGCGGCUUUGGUCUGGCCCUGUUCAAAAGGCCAAGUGAUAGUGAAAUCGGUAUCUUGAGGAGAAGAAGAACCAGACUGAAGUAGGCAGAAAGGCCGAACCAGGGUAAAUCAUCUGUAUUAUUUGAGUUUGAUUUUCUUCUUUUAUGUGGUUGUGCAAUUUUUAUCUUGCUUUAAUUUUACUUGAGUUUUUAGUUGUCAACUAAUUCACCCCCUGUA
rnacentral:lncRNA from 1 species